UCCCUCUCAGGGUCACACCUGGAGAGUUUCCAGUCCUCUACCAGUCUUGGCUGUGGGAGGGAGAGUCAGGCAGAGGUCUACCCAUUCCAUUCCUAGCUUGCCCAGUGGCUAGCCAGUGGAAGGCAAUCUUCUACAAGU